UUGAGUUAUCGAAAAGUUCUAUUAUAAUUGUUAUUGUGAUUUAUAGUUAUAAUAAAGUUAUAUUAUUUAAAGUUAAAUAAGUUGUAUUAAAGUAAAGAAUAAGAAACGAAUAACUUUGACAUUUCGAAAAGGAGGUAUGAUAUUUUUAUGUUGGGACCUAUAAUCAGAUUGCUAAUUUGUUUUGUAAUUAUAAAAGAAGAAAUGUGCAAAAAUAAACGAAAAAAUAAGGAAUACGGAACAAAGAAAGUUAGAAUGCGGAAGAAAAAAUGAAAGAAUGAAAAGAAAGAUAGAAAAAGAAACCAUUUGCAUGACAAUAUGUAACGAAUAAGAUUAUCCAAUUAUAUAUAUAUUAUUUCGAAGCAAUUUCUCUAAAUGUAUAAUUUAUAUUAUCAAAAGAAAUAUUUUAGGGAGUUAAAAAAAUACUGGAGUCGAAGUCAAAAAAUAUUAACUGAUGGAAAAAAAUAAAAUUCACAGAUUAGCUUCGAUGAUUGUAUCAUAAAUGUUGAAAACCUGACAUUGCAGCAGUACAUCUUCGAAGAAGUGGAAAAUUAUAUUGAAAGAUAUCCAGAGAAUUUAGACUAUUGGUCAUGGCAUGUUAUUAAGCUAUAAAAUAUAUUGGACAUCACAGAACUUCAAAUAAUUUGCCUUCUAAAGCGGGAUCUCUAAAAACUGAUGUAAGAACAGAUAAAAAAGUUCAUCGAUUAUUUAAAGCUGACAGAUUCAAGACUGCUAUCGAUAUUUACAGGGAAAUAUCCACGAACUUGGAUACACAAAUAAAUGUACAAAUUGUUUGACGAAGACUAGAGGUUUCAAUUAAAUGUUUUGCCAGUAAAAAAUCAUUUAUAUUAGAAAAAAUCUAUGAGCUAGAAUUGCUUUCACAAAAGAAUAUUUUAACUGACAGUGACCAACAGUUAUCAAACGUUGUAUUUAUAGACGAAUUUAAAUUCAAUAGAUUUGGAUUUGAUGAGAAAAUGUAUAUUAGACAUCAUAUAGACAAAGAAUACCAUAAUAGUUGUUUAAAAGAAACUAUAAGAUGUAGUGGAUCGGUCCUGGUAUAAACGGCACAGACCUUCAUCAAAGGAAUAAUGGACAAAUUUAUAUACUUAGAUGUUGUAAAAUAUCAAUUAAUUCCAUUUACUGAAGAGUACAUGAUGAAAGAUUGAAUUUAUCAAACGGAUAAUGAUUUUAAAUACACCACACAUAUAAUAAAGACAUUUUUUAAUGAACAAAAUAUUAAUGUGAUGAAGUGGCCAGCACAAUCUCCAGACUUAAAUCCCAUAGAGAUGUUAUGGAUUGACGUGAAUAAACAUGUGAAGAAGCAGGAACUAAAAAAUAUUAACGAAUUGUAUGUCAGAAUAGAAGAAGCUUGGUGUUUCAUACCGAUUACAGAUGGGGUCGAUGCAUUCGAUUUAUCGAAUCUAUGCCAUGCAGAGUAUGCUAGAAACUUGCAGAAAACGAAAUUAUUUUGUGUUAUUAAAUGUGCAAAUACACAAGAAAACAAAUUUUUGUUAACUGUAAUACGUAAAUGCUGCAUCGUAUCUAGCAUGGAUCACUACAAGAUAGUUGACACCAAAAUAUGAGAAACAAAAGUUUGAGUUUAUAGCCUACUUGUUCACAUGACAUCGAUAUUGUUUUAUAUAUACGCCUGAUAUUGCCGGUAACUGUAUAAGGUAAAAUCACAGAUUUUUCAAGAUUGGGCAAUUUUUGAUAGUAGGUUUUGCCAGUAAAAUCAGCACACGGUUAUUCGAUAAAAAUAAAUACAUAUAGAACGCACAUAUAGAACGGAACAGAAAAGACAAGUCUCUCAUGUAUCGAUAUCUUAGGAUAUGCUAAGAUUUGUGGUCCACUUAUAUAUAUAUAAUAGUUAUAUAUACAUAACUAUUAUAUACAGGGUAUUUCCGAAAAUGUGGACAUAACUUCAGGGAUAGAUACAGUAUGCUAAAAUAAAAAAAAAGUUCAUAUAAACAUAUGGUUAAUAUGACCUUUGCGAUGUAUUAUACAACAACCAUUCUUUUACAAUUAUAGCCGUAUGCUUGGGAUUAUAAUCUUGCUGGAAAUAAAAAACCCUAAUUUCGUAAAAAACCUUAACUUUCUUUUAAGUUAUUUUUUAGAAUAUUUAAAUAUUUAUAUUUAUCUAAAAUACCAUCUGUAAAAACAAUAUUUCUAAUACCGUUUGUAACCAUACAUCCUCACAACAUCACGGAACUACCACCGUGUUUUACAGUCAGACGUAAAUUUUUCACAUUCAUUUUUGAAUUGGGUUGUCUCCAAACAAAACGAGGUUCGUUCGAUCCGAAUAUAUUAUAUUUGCUUUCAUCAAGAAAAAUAACUUUAUCCCAAAAAACAUCAUCUUCAAUUAUGUAUUCUUUUACAAAUUUCAAACACUUGGCUCGAUUUGUCUUAUUAAUAAAUGAUUUCUUUUUCGUAAUUCUACCAUGAAAAUCAUUGUCGCGUAAAGUCUUGCGACAUAAUUCAAAAUGAACAUUUAAGUUUUGACGCAACCAUUUGAGCAAGAUUCGUAGCCGAAGUAUUCGGAUCUUUUUUUAUUUCGCGUAUUAUAAUUUUUUCUUCUCUACGAGUUAGUUUCUUUGGACGACCUAUACGAUGGUUGUUCUUAAUUGUUUUUUCGAUUUUUGAUUUUUUAAUAAUAUAAUGUAUGUUACAUAUACCCUUACAAAGUUCGGAUAUUAACUCCAUCGAAAAUUUGUGGGCAGAAAUCGGCAAGAAAUAAAAAAAUGAUAAAAUAACUUCGAAAAAUGUAUUAAAACAGAAGAUUGUAGAAGUAUGUAAUUCUAUAGAAUCUACAACUGAAAAGCUAGUGUGCAGCAUGUAACAUCGUCCCAAAGCCAUAAUAAAUUAAUAGUGUUCGAAUACUUUUAUGAACCUGUUUCAAUACAUUUUUGUAAUAAAUGUUUCAUAACUUCUAUAAAUGUUAUUCGAUUCGCUUCAAAUUUUGUAUGCGUAAUCUCGAUAGUUGUGUCUUAUAAUAGUUGUAACAUCACUUUCAGAAUUUAAGUCUAACAUGCAUAUUUUUAUUAUUUAAAGUUUUAAUAGCGAGCAUUUCAAUACUUUCGUAAGACAUUGUAUAUAUAUAAUAGCCUUAAGUCGUUUCGUGCUGUCAUGAUAAACGUUCUCUGUAUCAACGUUCUCCCUUUUUCUCUUUCUUUUUCUUUUUAAUAACAACGUAUACAUGCAUAUGCAGUAUGCAUUAUUGAAUAUAGACAUGUAAAUUUGAUAUAUCCAGUCAGAUACUUUCCAACAAAAUUUUACGUCCUUUAAAUUUUCGUGACAAAAAUUCAUCUUAAAUAUAACGCAAACAUUCGUAAAAUAUUUUUUUAUUUAUUUUUUAAGUAAGAUACAUUUUGUCGAGAUAAAAUAUUUAUUUGGGAAUAUGAGGAGGUAGAUUUUAUUAAUAUCAAAACAAAUAUUGCACUGGAGAUAUGAAGUAACUAAUGUAUUGUAGGCGGAAGGCUUCGAAGAGUUGCGGUAAGAGAAAAAUAUGCGACGUAAACAGUUUUGACAUUUUUGACCGACUGUUUGAAAAAACUAAAAGUAAAUAAAACCGAUCAUAAAAAUUCUGUAGUAUCUAAGUAGCGUGUAUGUACUAUAUGCCUGUAAUACGUGAUUAAAAAAAGUAAACGAACUGACAAUAAGACGAGCCAACUGGAGUUAUUUUAGUUAGGUAUCGACAGUUAGUGUCGGAUACGAGUUACGAGCUAAAUGUGUAUAUCAAAGAAUGCUGCAUAAAUAUCUAUUAUUAAAGUGUAUACAUUGAUAUUGGCAAUAAAAAUACUAUAGGAUAUUACAGCUUCCAUUGGAGUUAUAAUAAUAGAUAAUGCCAGAUGUCGCGUACCCUUACACGACGUGUAAGGCACUAGGUAUAUCGGAUAUGCCCAUAUAUAAACCGCUUAAGAAAAUAAAACUUUAGAAAUUGUCGUCUCAAUAAGAUCGUGUAAAAGCGUAAAAAUAAUAUCACACGCUCUUACGAAAUUGUAUGGAGAUAUUUUCGAGGUAGUAGAACACAGACCGGAUCUGCUACGACUGACUUAUCUUCUCUCCGGAAGAAGUUCUGUUUAUGCAUAAAUCGUAGGUGUAUAUGUGUAAGAACUUAUCUUCGCAAAAUUUUCUCGUUACUUUAUACGCUUUAAAGAAGCACAUUAAAUAAUAUACAUAAUAUAUUUAAUGUAAUAUAAUAUUUUAUAAUAGAAUAAAAAGUUGAAAAGAUGAA